GAUGAACGCUAGCGGCAGGCUUAACACAUGCGAGUCGAGGGGUAUUUAUCUUCGGAUAGAGAGACCGGCGCACGGGUGCGUAACGCGUAUGCAAUCUACCUUUUACAGAGGGAUAGCCAAGAGAAAUUUGGAUUAAUACUUCAUAGUAUAUAGACUCGGCAUCGAGAUUAUAUUAAAGUAACAACGGUAAAAGAUGAACAUGCGUCCCAUUAGCUAGUUGGUAAGGUAACGGCUUACCAAGGCUACGAUGGGUAGGGGUCCUGAGAGGGAGAUCCCCCAAACUGGUACUGAGACCCGGACCAGACCGCUACGGGAGGCAGCAGUGAGGAGUAUUGUGGGAGGAGCGCAAGCCUGAUCCAGCCAUGCCGGGUGAAGGAGGACGCGCAUAUGGAAUGUAAACUGCUUUUAUACGAGAAGAGUAACUGCUACGUGUAGCAGCUUGACGGUAUCGUAAGAAUAAGGAUCGGCUAACUCCGUG
rnacentral:rRNA from 1 species